AAUGUAAUGCAUUUCUGAAUUCUGAAUUCUGAAUUCUGAUUUCACUCCUCUCUCUCCCCCCUUUAUCUCUUUCUCUCUCUCCUCAUUUCAUUAAUCAACAGCGUUUAUGGCUCCUUCUCUCUCCUCCUUUCACCGCGUUUCUGGCUCCUUCUCUCUCCUCUUUUCCGGUGAAGAUUAACCGGACGACAUAUCUCCUGUUAGGUUUUUCUCUAAUUUGUGGUUCGUUUCCUCUUUUUUUAUUGGAUUUUAUUGGUUUGUUUGUAGCUGAAAUGUUUGAUUUAUUCUUGAAAUAGGUCAGAUAAAGUUUGGUUAAUUGAUGAGAAGCAGAAUAUGGUUAGUUUAUGGAAAUUAAUUGUAUUCUUUUGCAUAGUUUUGACGAAAUAUAUGAUUUUGGUGAUUUAUGAACCGGGUUGAUAACUGAUUAUUCUGCCGGCUUCGAAGCUCAGGCUCCGCGUUAUGCGAAUCGAUCUUCUGUUUGAGGAGAAAUUCUCGAGAGGAUUUGAUCAUGUACCAGCAAAGAACUCAUGUACCAGCAAGUCCUACGCCGUUUUGGUCAUUUUAAUGCUAUACAAUUGAGUGACCCUGCACCACUGCCUGAGUUAAUACUGUUGGCACUCAAAGAGGAAGAUAUGGAUGCAGAUGGCAGUGAGAAUUAUGAUCUGAGGAAAAAAAUUGCUGAGGUUAUUACUUCGCCCUUUGUCAUUUCUUCUAAGAGGUUCCUUUACACCUAUCCUGCCUGUUUGAGGCCUAGGCUAGGGUUAGUGACCAUGUUUAACUGCAAAGUUACUUAACCAAAUAUAUUGAGCUCGCUGUUAAAGUUUCAGGUGGCUUUCGAACAAAAUGUCAUGUCAUUUUAUUGAUUCCCCUUUUAGUUGCUCUUGAAUUUCUCUCAAUUAUUUCGAGUAUUGUUAUUUUUGAUUUUGAUUUUUCAAUUUGAAUUGAUAUGUGUUUCUCUUCUUAUCUGAAUUUUUCUUUCUUAAAUUUACAGCAGGUGAUAUUGUAACAUUUGUAAAUCAUGAUCUCCUUGGUUUUUUGCGCUUCUCCAAUGGUUAGUUGCCUUAAAAUUAUUUAUUAUUGUGAUUAUUUGGGGUUCAGGUUAACAGUUACAAAGAACAGAUAAAUUGUGGUAAAUUCAUGUUAUGAUUGUUAUUCAAGUUGUGCUUUGAGAUGUCUUUGGAGGCAGGUUUACUGUAAUGGACUAAUACGAGUACUUGCUAUGUUCUUAUAUGUUGAAGUUUCUUGUCUGGUGAUUAGAUUAUAUCCUAGAUAGCAUAUGUUUAAUCAAAGACCCAUUGUAUUUGGACGUCUAAGGUAGAUCCCGAUAAUGCUUCUGCGUUCAUUCUAGACAGCAUAUUUUUAAUCAAAGACCCAUUGUAUUUUUCAUCUCCCAUGUUUGACAUUACUAUCAUGGCUUUUCUUCUUCUAUGGUGUGUUGUGAAUGAUAGUUUGGAACACAGUAGUUAAUUUGUCCACUAUUUUCUGUCUAAAAUGUGGAAUGUGCAGGAAAUUGCUUAGUAUAGAUUUCUCAAUUUAAAGCAUACAUAAUUUAUCGAUUUAAAGCAUACAUAAUUUUUUUAAUACCGGGUCAAUAAUCCUGACGAGUUUUCUCGAUUCAUUAAGCUGUAACUGGGCUCGUCUUUGAUCGGCUUCUAAUCAAUAUUCAAAAUCAAUAUUUGUAGUUUAAUUUACUCAAUUUAUUAAACUUGAUGGAUUUAUGUGAUAGGAAUUCCCGAGAGGAUUUGAUCAAUCAUAUUCUUACGAGACAUGGUCUAGAAAACCCACUAAACCUCCAAAAUUGUACUUUCCAACUCUGUUUUUUCAUAUUUAUUUUAUCACUGAUUAUUGAUAUCAUUAUCUCUUUGUCUAUCCCUUAUUUGUUUCUUUUCUGAACUCCAAUCUGUUUUAUUAAUAUACGCUUGUGAUGUCACUGUCUGUUAAUUCUAGGCUUGUCAAGUCGAUUUCAGGUCUAGCAAUUUUGGGUUUAGCCGUUUAGGCUAUGUUCGUUCUCAGGUCCAGUGUGUUUGAAAGUAAUUUCGGGUGGUGUUACUGGGUUCUUCCUCGGAAAAGUUAUAGAAUUUGUGUUUGAUUAAUGUGGUUUAUGUGGUAAAUUUUCUUUAAUGAGAGACUAAUAUAUGUAGUUGUUUUGCCAAGGGUUAAGCUGUUUGCUCAUAACUAAGUGUGUUUUAAUGGAGACCAUGUGUUGUAACGUGUUUGAUUGUUGCUCACCUUCUUAAUUUUGUUGUAAGUGUUAUGUAUCAGUGUUUGAUUGUUGCUCACCUUCUUAAUUUGGACACUAAGUACCCUGGGCCUAAUGCAUCGACAAUUGGGAAGAUAUUUGCACGUUAUUUGCCUCGAACAGAGCUAGGUUUGUCUCGUCACCAAGUCGAUCAAGCGGUUUGUUAAUGAUGAGUUCGAUAUGCUCGAUGAUCUGAAAUUGUUUUGGAUCUUAUUAUGUAUUGACGGGUAGCAUUUUAGUAUAUUAGGUAUAUUAGGUUGGAUCCUAUUAUGUUUUAUUGGAUGUCAUAUUUGAAAAUUUGGAUCUUAUAUAUUUGUAUUUUACAUAAUCGUAGACAUAUAUAUAUUUUAGUCUACAAUUGUUUUCUAUUUUGCAGUACUAUUGUAAACAUAUACAGUACAGUCUAACACUUAUAUAUAAUUUCAACAUUUUUGAACA